rnacentral:rRNA from 1 species
GACGAACGCUGGCGGCGUGCCUAAUACAUGCAAGUAGAACGCACAGUUUAUACCGUAGCUUGCUACACCAUAGACUGUGAGUUGCGAACGGGUGAGUAACGCGUAGGUAACCUGCCUGGUAGCGGGGGAUAACUAUUGGAAACGAUAGCUAAUACCGCAUAAUAUUAAUUAUUGCAUGAUAAUUAAUUGAAAGGUGCAAUUGCACCACUACCAGAUGGACCUGCGUUGUAUUAGCUAGUAGGUGAGGUAACGGCUCACCUAGGCGACGAUACAUAGCCGACCUGAGAGGGUGGACGGCCCCACUGGGACUGAGGCACGGCCCAAACUCCUACGGGAGGCAGCAGUAGGGAAUCUUCGGCAAUGGACGAAAGUCUGACCGAGCAACGCCGCGUGAGUGAAGAAGGUUUUCGGAUCGUAAAGCUCUGUUGUAAGAGAAGAACGGGUGUGAGAGUGGAAAGUUCACACUGUGACGGUAUCUUACCAGAAAGGGACGGCUAACUACGUG